CUUGCUCCCGACACCAUUCACCAAGCCACAAAUUAAAGUCCCUAAUACGCAUCCGCCUGUCAUUCUGAGUGUUAUGCACAGGCAGAACUUCAGAGAAUGACAGUGUGGAAGCAACCUGCCAUAUAUCAUUGGCAAAAACCUUAAAAACUUCCUUAACCUCUGAAACCUCAUUGUAAGCUAAGUCAUUUGUCCAUAGAUGGACAAGUACAUCCAAUUCCC